UACGAAGGGUGCAAGCGUUGCUCGGAAUUAUUGGGCGUAAAGGGUGAGUAGGUGGUCUGAUUUGUCUGGGGUGAAAGCCUUAAGCUUAACUUAAGAAGUGCCUUAGAAACGGUCGGACUAGAGUGCUGGAGAGGAUCGCAGAAUUCCUGGUGUAGCGGUGAAAUGCGUAGAGAUCAGGAGGAAUACCAGUGGCGAAAGCGGCGAUCUGGACAGUAACUGACACUCAAUCACGAAAGCGUGGGGAGCAAACAGG
rnacentral:rRNA from 1 species